rnacentral:rRNA from 1 species
CUUGCGCUGCUACCAUGCAAGUCGAACGUGAUCCGCCCUUCGGGGUGGUGAAAGUGGCGCACGGGUGAGUAACGCGUGGAUAAUCUGCCCGAGGAUUUGGGAUAACAUCUCGAAAGGGGUGCUAAUACCGAAUAAGCCCACGGGGUCUACGGAUCUUGCGGGAAAAGGGGGGGACCUUCGGGCCUCCUGUCCUUGGAUGAGUCUGCGUACCAUUAGCUAGUUGGUGGGGUAAUGGCCUACCAAGGCGACGAUGGUUAGCUGGUCUGAGAGGAUGAUCAGCCACACUGGAACUGAGACACGGUCCAGACUCCUACGGGAGGCAGCAGUGGGGAAUUUUGCGCAAUGGGGGAAACCCUGACGCAGCAACGCCGCGUGGGUGAUGAAGGCCUUCGGGUCGUAAAGCUCUGUCUGGAGGGAAGAAAUGAUUGGGAGCUAAUACCUCUUGAUCUUGACGGUACCUCUGAAGGAAGCACCGGCUAACUCCGUGCCAGCAGCCGCGGUAAUACGGAGGGUGCAAGCGUUGUUCGGAAUUAUUGGGCGUAAAGCGCGUGUAGGCGGUCUUUUAAGUCUGAUGUGAAAGCCCCGGGCUCAACCUGGGAAGUGCAUUGGAAACUGGGAGGUUUGAGUACGGGAGAGGAGAGUGGAAUUCCUAGUGUAGGAGUGAAAUCCGUAGAUAUUAGGAGGAACACCGGUGGCGAAGGCGGCUCUCUGGACCGAUACUGACGCUGAGACGCGAAAGCGUGGGUAGCAAACAGGAUUAGAUACCCUGGUAGUCCACGCCGUAAACGAUGAGUACUAGGUGUUGCGGGUAUUGACCCCU